rnacentral:lncRNA from 12 species
GAGGCAAUCUUUUUCAAAGCCACAUGGAAGACAUAACCCACCUAAUUCUACUGUCCUCGGUCCUCAAUUUCGUGGGAAAGAUUUCCUAUCAGAUUCUGAAAAAUCCACAAAUUUAAGUGCGAAUGGGUCUUUUUCAUAAUGCAUAUAACUGGGUGGUUUAUAGUAUUGGGGUGGCUCUUUGGGAGGCUGGUUGGCAGAAGGUUUGCAUUCAGCUGCUGCAGUUGUAGUACAGGGUUGAGGAGUGGUGGUUAUAGGUGGUGCGGUAGGGGUUUUCUGAGGUUGCACUGGGUAUUGUGGAUAAAAUUGCUGCAAAUAAUCUGGGAAAUUUGGGUAAUGGCUAUGCUGAGGGAAUAGACUUCCAGGGUACACUGGGGGUUGCGGUUUCUGGUUUAUUGCUGGCGAAUCUGGUGGGAGAGGAGUGGGGAUGGCUGGAGCUGGUUUCACAGUAGUAUUUGGUUUGCCAUGAUAGUCACUGUAGUAAUAUGGCCACAUAUGGGGUUGCCUUGGAAACUGAGGUUUCUGGGUUGGCACUUGGCCAUCUGAUGGAGAUUGCCCUGCUGGCUUAGCUGUGGGAUAUGGCCACAUCAUAUGGGGGUACUUUGGAAACUGAGGUUUCUGGAUUGGCACUUGGCCAUCUGAGGGAGAUUGCCCUGCUGGCUUAGCUGUGGGAUAUGGCCACAUCAUCUGGGGGUACUUCGGAAACUGAGGUUUCUGGGUUGGCACUUGGCCAUCUGAUGGAGAUAGCCCUGCUGGCUUAGCUGUGGGAUAUGGCCACAUCAUAGGGGGGUGCUUUGGAAAUUGAGGUUUCUGGGUUGGCACUUGGCCAUCUGAUGGAGAUUGCCCUGCUGGCUUAGCUGUGGGAUAUGGCCACAUCAUAUGGGGGUGCUUUGGAAACUGAGGUUUCUGGGUUGGCACUUGGGCAUCUGAUGGAGAUUGCCCUGCUGGCUCAGCUGUGGGAUAACCCUUGCCAGGAUAAUGGGAAUAUGGAUAUGGCCACAUCAUCUGGGGGUGCUUUGGAAACUGAGGUUUCUGGGUUGGCACUUGGCCAUCUGCUGGAGAUUGCCCUGCUGGCUUAUCUGUGGGAUAACCCUUGCCAGGAUAAUGGGAGUAGGGAUAUGGCCACAUCAUAUGGGGGUACUUCGGAAACUGAGGUUUUUGGGUUGGCACUUGGGCAUCUGAUGGAGAUUGCCCUGCUGGCUUAGCUGUGGGAUAUGGCCACAUCAUAUGGGGGUACUUCGGAAACUGAGGUUUCUGGGUUGGCACUUGGCCAUCUGAUGGAGAUUGCCCUGCUGGCUUAGCUGUGGGAUAUGGCUAUAUAUAUAUAUAUAUAUAUAUAUAUAUAUAUAUAUAUAUAUAUAUAUAUAUAUAUAUAUAUAUAUAUAUAUAUAUAUAUAUAUAUAUAUAUAUAUAUAUAUAUAUAUAUAUAUAUAUAUAUAUAUAUAUAUAUAUAUAUA